rnacentral:rRNA from 1 species
UGGGGGAUAUUGCACAAUGGGGGAAACCCUGAUGCAGCGACGCCGCGUGAGGGAAGACGGUCCUCUGGAUUGUAAACCUCUGUCUUCGGGGACGAAACGAGACGGUACCCGAGGAGGAAGCCACGGCUAACUACGUGCCAGCAGCCGCGGUAAUACGUAGGUCACAAGCGUUGUCCGGAAUUACUGGGUGUAAAGGGAGCGCAGGCGGGAGAACAAGUUGGAAGUGAAAUCCAUGGGCUCAACCCAUGAACUGCUUUCAAAACUGUUUUUCUUGAGUAGUGCAGAGGUAGGCGGAAUUCCCGGUGUAGCGGUGGAAUGCGUAGAUAUCGGGAGGAACACCAGUGGCGAAGGCGGCCUACUGGGCACCAACUGACGCUGAGGCUCGAAAGUGUGGGUAGCAAACAGGAUUAGAUACCCUGGUAGUCCACACUGUAAACGAUGAUUACUAGGUGUUGGAGGAUUGACCCCUUCAGUGCCGCAGUUAACACAAUAAGUAAUCCACCUGGGGAGUACGACCGCAAGGUUGAAACUCAAAGGAAUUGACGGGGGCCCGCACAAGCAGUGGAGUAUGUGGUUUAAUUCGACGCAACGCGAAGAACCUUACCAAGUCUUGACAUCCUGCGACGCACAUAGAAAUAUGUGUUUCCUUCGGGACGCAGAGACAGGUGGUGCAUGGUUGUCGUCAGCUCGUGUCGUGAGAUGUUGGGUUAAGUCCCGCAACGAGCGCAACCCUUAUGGUCAGUUACUACGCAAGAGGACUCUGGCCAGACUGCCGUUGACAAAACGGAGGAAGGUGGGGAUGACGUCAAAUCAUCAUGCCCUUUAUGACUUGGGCUACACACGUACUACAAUGGCGUUAAACAAAGAGAAGCAAGACCGCGAGGUGGAGCAAAACUCAGAAACAACGUCCCAGUUCGGACUGCAGGCUGCAACUCGCCUGCACGAAGUCGGAAUUGCUAGUAAUCGCAGAUCAGCAUGCUGCGGUGAAUACGUUCCC